rnacentral:rRNA from 1 species
AUAUCGGGAACCUGGGGAUGCAAUGGCUUUAUAUGCUACUUCUCACGCAAGCCUUGUUAGUUGUGUCAAUUACCUUUAGUAUGUCUAUCAAUGAUUUAGGGCAAUAAUAGGACCUAAGCACAUGCCAGAGUUUGUCUUUGUUAACUUUAUCAAUGGCUGUGCUUAGGUCCAUGAACGCCAGAUAUACUGGUUCCUUUUUGAUAAAUAAAGAAUGGGUGGCCACUAAGCAUAGAAUUAGAUUUUGUUCCAUCGUCCCUAAUGAGGGGCGGAAACCACAUUUUAAUGGUGAUAAUAUUGAAUUAUCUGUGUCCCAGUCCCUGCCCCUUGGCACCCCUGGAUGCUGUUGACUGAGUGUACUGGGGGUCCAAAGCGUUUACAUAGAAAAAAUUAAAGUGUUCAAAACACGGCCGAUCGCCUGAAUACUUCAGCUAGGAAUAAUGGAAUAGGACUCCAGUUCUAUUUUUUUGGUUAUCGGAACUGGGGUCAUGAUUAAAAGGGACAGCCGGGGGCUUUUGUAUUGUGCCGCUAGAGGUGAAAUUCUUGACUGGCGCAAGUCGAACCAAAGCGAAAGCAUUUGACAUGAAUGUUUCCAUUAAUCAAGAGCAAAAGUCAGAGGUUCGACGACGAUCAGAUACCAUCGUAUUUCCUACCGUAAACAAUGCCGACUAGCGAUAUUGUGGCGUUAUUUCUGUGACCCGCCAAGCAGCAUCUGGGAAACCAAAGUCUUUGGGUUCGGGUGGGGCGGGGAGUAUGGUUGCAAAGCUGAAUCUUUAAGGAAUUGAUGGAAGGGCACCACCAGGAGUGGAGCCUGCGACUUAAUUUGACUCAACACAGGAAACGCCACCCGACCCGGACAGGGAGAGGUUUGACAGAUUGAUAGCUCUUUCUUGAUUCUGUGAGUGAUGGUGCAUGGCCAUUCUUAGAUGGUGCAGUGAUUUGUCUGGUUAAUUCCGAUAACGAAUGAGACUCCUCCAUGUUAAAUAGUUGUGUAACCCUGAGCGGUCGACAAGUGGCAUUCAGCCACACGAGAUUGAGAAAUAACAUGUCUGUGAUGCCCUUAGAUGUCCAGGGCUGCACACGUGCUACACUGAACGUAUCAAAGUAUGACUAUCCUUCACUGACAAGGGCGGGUAACCUGCUGAACCCCGUUUGGGAUGGGUCAUUGCAAUAAUUUCCCAUGAACGAGGAAUUUACAGUAAGUGCGGGUCAUAAGCUUGCGUUGAUUAAGCCCCUGCCCUUUGUAGACACCGACCGUUACUACUACUGAUUGGAUGGUUUAGUGAGUGAGGUCUUUGGAUUGGCCACGCUGGGGUCAGCAAAAGCCCUAGUGGAGUGCCGAGAAGACGAACAACCUUGACUAUUUAGAGGAUGUAAAAGUUGUGACAAGGUUUUCAGCAGGCAAAUCUGCAGAAG